rnacentral:rRNA from 1 species
GAGGAAAAGAAAAUAACAAUGAUUUCCCUAGUAACGGCGAGUGAAGAGGAAAGAGCUCAAAGUUGGAACCUGUUUGGCUUAGCUAAACCGGAUUGUAAACUGUAGAAACGUUUUCCUGACACGCCAGAUAAAUAAGUCCUUUGGAACAGGGCAUCAUAGAGGGUGAGAAUCCCGUCUUUGGUCUGAGCUGUUGUCUUUUGUGAUACGUUUUCAAAGAGUCAGGUUGUUUGGGAAUGCAGCCUAAAUUGGGUGGUAAAUCUCACCUAAAGCUAAAUAUUUGCGAGAGACCGAUAGCGAACAAGUACCGUGAGGGAAAGAUGAAAAGAACUUUGAAAAGAGAGUUAAACAGUAUGUGAAAUUGUUAAAAGGGAACCGUUUGGAGCCAGACUGGCUUGAUCGUAAUCAAUCUAGGUUUCGACCUGGAUGCACUUGCGGUCUAUGCCUGCCAACGACAGUUCUUUCUGAAGGAUAAAACUAGGAGGAAUGUGGCCCCUCGGGGUGUUAUAGCCUCUUAGAUAAUACUUUGGAUGGGACUGAGGAACGCAGUGAAUGCUUAUGGCGAAAUUGCUAGGCGCUUUUGUUGAUAGAUGUUAGAAUUUCUACUUCGGGUAGUGCUGAUGUCUAAAGGUAAAACUCGUUUGGUUAAUUUUCUAUUCACUUAGGUUGUUGGCUUAUGACUCUAAUGAC